rnacentral:rRNA from 1 species
GGAUGAACGCUGGCGGCGUGCCUAAUACAUGCAAGUCGAGCGAACGGACGAGACGCUUGCUUCUCUGAUGUUAGCGGCGGACGGGUGAGUAACACGUGGAUAACCUACCUAUAAGACUGGGAUAACUUCGGGAAACCGGGGCUAAUACCGGAUAAUAUUUUGAACCGCAUGGUUCAAAAGUGAAAGACGGUCUUGCUGUCACUUAUAGAUGGAUCCGCGCUGCAUUAGCUAGUUGGUAAGGUAACGGCUUACCAAGGCAACGAUGCAUAGCCGACCUGAGAGGGUGAUCGGCCACACUGGAACUGAGACACGGUCCAGACUCCUACGGGAGGCAGCAGUAGGGAAUCUUCCGCAAUGGGCGAAAGCCUGACGGAGCAACGCCGCGUGAGUGAUGAAGGUCUUCGGAUCGUAAAACUCUGUUAUUAGGGAAGAACAUAUGUGUAAGUAACUGUGCACAUCUUGACGGUACCUAAUCAGAAAGCCACGGCUAACUACGUG